GAUGAACGCUCGCGGGAGGCCUAACACAUGCAAGCCGAGCGGUAGAGUUCCUUCGGGAACUUGAGAGCGGCGUACGGGUGCGUAACACGUGUGCAACCUACCUUUAUCUGGGGGAUAGCCUUUCGAAAGGAAGAUUAAUACCCCAUAAUAUAAUGAUUGGCAUCAAUUAUUAUUGAAAACUCCGGUGGAUAGAGAUGGGCACGCGCAAGAUUAGAUAGUUGGUGAGGUAACGGCUCACCAAGUCAAUGAUCUUUAGGGGUCCUGAGAGGGAGAUCCCCCACACGGGUACUGAGACACGGACCAGACUCCUACGGGAGGCAGCAGUGAGGAAGAUUGGACAAUGGGUGAAAGCCUGAUCCAGCCAUCCCGCGUGAAGGAUGACGGUCCUAUGGAUGGUAAACUUCUUUUGUACAGGGAUAAACCUACUCUCGUGAGGGUAGCUGAAGGUACUGUACGAAUAAGCACCGGCUAACUCCGUG
rnacentral:rRNA from 1 species